rnacentral:rRNA from 1 species
UCGAGAAUCUUCGGCAAUGGGCGCAAGCCUGACCGAGCGAUGCCGCGUGCGGGAUGAAGGCCUUCGGGUUGUAAACCGCUGUCGUAGGGGAAUAACUUCCAUAGAGUUAUCUUUAUGGAUUGAAUGAUCCUAGGAGGAAGGACGGGCUAAGUUCGUGCCAGCAGCCGCGGUAAGACGAACCGUCCGAACGUUAUUCGGAAUCACUGGGCUUACAGAGUUCGUAGGCGGUCCGGCAAGUUAGAUGUGAAAUCCCUUGGCUUAACCAAGGAACUGCGUUUGAAACUGCCGGACUCGAGGGAGAUAGAGGAAAGCGGAACUGAUGGUGGAGCGGUGAAAUGCGUUGAUAUCAUCAGGAACACCGGUGGCGAAGGCGGCUUUCUGGGUCUCUUCUGACGCUGAGGAACGAAAGCUAGGGGAGCGAACGG